rnacentral:tRNA from 1 species
GGAAAUGUGGCUUAGUGGUAGAGUGCUUGCCUAGCAAGCAAGAAGCUCUGGGUUCAAUUCCUUAUUACUA